AAUCAACGCUGGCGGCGUGCCUCAGACAUGCAAGUCGAACGAUUAAAGCUCUCUUCGGAGAGUGUAUAGAGUGGCGCACGGGUGAGUAACACGUAAGUAAUCUACCCUCGAGUGGGGAAUAACAACCGGAAACGGUUGCUAAUACCGCAUAAUGCAGCGGCACCGCAAGGUGACAGUUGUUAGAGAUUUAUCGCUUGAGGAGGAGCUUGCGGCAGAUUAGCUAGUUGGUGGGGUAACGGCUUACCAAGGCUACGAUCUGUAACCGGUCUAAGAGGACGGUCGGUCACACUGACACUGAAUAACGGGUCAGACUCCUACGGGAGGCAGCAGUCGGGAAUUUUGGGCAAUGGGCGAAAGCCUGACCCAGCAACGCCGCGUGAAGGAUGAAGUAUUUCGGUAUGUAAACUUCGAAAGAAUAGGAAGAAUUAAUGACGGUACUAUUUAUAAGGUCCGGCUAACUACGUG
rnacentral:rRNA from 1 species